rnacentral:rRNA from 1 species
UACGUAGGGUCCGAGCGUUAAUCGGAAUUACUGGGCGUAAAGCGUGCGCAGGCGGUUUUGUAAGCCAGAUGUGAAAGCCCCGGGCUCAACCUGGGAACUGCAUUUGGGACUGCAAAGCUGGAGUACGGCAGAGGGAGGUGGGAAUUCCACGUGUAGCAGUGAAAUGCGUAGAGAUGUGGAGGAACACCAAUGGCGAAGGCAGCCUUCUGGGCCAACACUGACGCUCAUGCACGAAAGCGUGGGGAGCAAACAGG